UAUUGAAACGGCAACCGGCGUAUAACGCGAUUCAAGGAAGGUGAUAUUACUUCAUUGGUCUAACACAUUAGUGUGUUUCUCUGACUUUGGUAGAGUUCCUUCAAUUACACAGCAUGGCUAUCCUGACUGCCGUCGUGCUGUUGGUCUUGUUGACAGCUUUUCUGGACAGAACUUCUGUGAACGCUAAAUUGGUAUAUGU